UAACAAGGAUUCCCCUAGUAACUGCGAGUGAAGCGGGAUGAGCUCAAAUUUAAAAUCUGGCGGUCUCUGGCCGUCCGAGUUGUAAUCUGGAGAAGCGUUUUCCGCGUCGGACCGUGUACAAGUCUCUUGGAACAGAGCGUCAUAGAGGGUGAGAAUCCCGUCCAUGACACGGACUGCCGAUGCUUUGUGAUACGCUCUCAAAGAGUCGAGUUGUUUGGGAAUGCAGCUCAAAAUGGGUGGUAAAUUCCAUCUAAAGCUAAAUAUUGGCGAGAGACCGAUAGCGAACAAGUACCGUGAGGGAAAGAUGAAAAGCACUUUGGAAAGAGAGUUAAACAGUACGUGAAAUUGUUGAAAGGGAAACGCUUGAAGUCAGUCGCGUUGUCCGGGACUCAGCCUUGCUUCUGCUUGGUGUACUUCCCGUUCGACGGGUCAACAUCGAUUUUGACCGGCGGAUAAAGGCAGGGGGAAUGUGGCACCUUCGGGUGUGUUAUAGCCCUCUGUCGCAUGCGUCGGUUGGGAUCGAGGACCGCAGCGCGCCCUCGUGGCCGGGAGGUACGCCUCCACGUUACGCGCUUAGGAUGUUGGCAUAAUGGCUUUAAGCGACCCGUCUUGAAACACGGACCAAGGAGUCUAACAUGCUCGCGAGUGUUAGGGUGGAAAACCCUUGCGCGUAAUUAAAGUGAAAGUUGGGACCCUUGUCAUGAGGGGCACCGACGCCCGGCCCGGACCUUCUGCGAUGGUGCUGCGGUAGAGCGCGUAUGUUGGGACCCGAAAGAUGGUGAACUAUGCCUGAAUAGGGCGAAGCCAGAGGAAACUCUGGUGGAGGCUCGUAGCGAUUCUGACGUGCAAAUCGAUCGUCAAAUUUGGG
rnacentral:rRNA from 1 species